rnacentral:rRNA from 1 species
AACGAACGCUGGCGGUGUGCCCCAUACAUGCAAGUCGUACGCGAAUCCUGCCGCAAGGCAGGGUUUGAGUGGCAAACGGGUGCGUAACACGUAGGUAAUCUUCCUUUGAGUUGGGGAUAAGCCCUCGAAAGGGGGUCUAAUACCGAAUAACACUUCGGGCCGGCAUCGGCCUGAAAUUAAAGAUGGCCUCUGCUUGCAAGCUAUCGCUCGGAGAUGAGCCUGCGGCCGAUAGUUAGUUGGCGGGAUAAAAGCCCACCAAGACUUCGAUCGGUAGCCGGUCUGAGAGGAUGUCCGGCCACACUGGGACUGAGAUACGGCCCAGACUCCUACGGGAGGCAGCAGUAGGGAAUAUUGCGCAAUGGCCGCAAGGCUGACGCAGCAACACCGCGUGGGGGAUGAAGGUUUUCGG